GGUAAUCCUUAUUUAUGAAACUAUUUUUAGAAUUUUUAUUAGUAAAUAAGAAUAAAAAAGUUAUUUCCAAUAUAAGAUUUACGUCUUUAGAAAUGUUUCAUAUAUGGAUAAGUAUCCCUAAACCCUGUUUUCUAAUGUUCAGGCAAACUGUUUCUUAUUCAUCAAUUAUUAAGGGGAUUAAUCAUGUAAUCCAAAUAUCCUUCCAAGCACAAACUCUCCUAGUAGUACCACUAGGGGAGAUUUUUAAACUGUCUCUUAUCCAAACCAGAGAAUAGGAUGUAUAGCUUUCAUGUGGUUGGAGCUGAAAACUGCAGAGACAGCCCCUAGUUUUACAUAAGGCUUUAUUCUAUAUUUCAAUUAUGAUUUCUGAAAAAACAUAAAAAAUCAGUACAAAGAGCAGGGAAAAUAAAGAAAUAAAUAUAUAUAUAUUUUCAACUUAAAAUAGCACUUCAAUAAAAUAAUUUUAUCGAAGUGUUUUUGACCCUCUGGGUUCUCUUCAGC
rnacentral:lncRNA from 1 species